rnacentral:lncRNA from 1 species
CCGAAUUGUCCCCGACCCCUUUCCUUAAGAUCGGCUUGUGACCUGCCAGGGGUUUCUGCUGUGAAUGGCCGCUUGUACUAUGAUAAUCACCUUGCGAUCAAAGUUUUCCUCCAGUGAACUUGUGCCCAGAAUAAGGACGCCAUAUUCUCAAGAGUUCCUUCAUCCACUUCCGCCGUACGAUCUCUCUCAUCGGUGAAUGCUUUCUCUCUUCCGCCCCAAUGUUCGCUGAUUGGUAUUCUUCAAAGACCAAACGCGCUUCUCUCGGCACCACUGAUUGGCUUGAUUUUAGACUUGUCUCGGAACCGGUUUCCUGAGGUGCCUGAGGCAGCUUGCCAGCUGGUGUCCCUGGAAGGCCUGAGCCUCUACCACAAUUGCCUGAGAUGUCUGAACCCA